AUGCCUGAGAAACCCUAACAAUUGCUAUAAAUUCAGGGUCUUGCGACAAACCCUUGGCGCCGUUGUUGGGGGCUCUUGUAUCGUUUCCAUCUUUCUGCUUUGCACUGUAAUUUGUUUCAUUUUCAGUGUUUGAGUUUUGUUUUGUUUUAACGCUUUCAUAAGAGAGUUCACGGUGAUGACCACGUAAAAUUCAAGCUCAACAGACCGGAAUGCACGGCUUUCUCUUUUGGAGAUUGCUUUGCGUGUCGACUAUCCCGCUGAACUGAGUGAUCUCUUUUGUUCUUUAAGAAAUCAAAUGAUGUUUUCUCUUUUCAAUCAUGCUUUAAUUUCAAAUUAUUAUUAUUAUUUCUGUUAUUAUUGACGUAUGUUGGGGGAAAAGUUUUCACGAUGAGGAUAGCGAAGCUCCCUCUUCCAAAAUUUCAAUUUGAGGAAGAACGCUGGCUGAAUCGAACCAUAAACCUUACGGCCACCACUGAGUGAUAACUUUCCUCUACUAUUCAGUUUGUUUUUUCCUGUAUGCUUUGUUAAAUUCAUUAUUUGAUCGCAUCUGGUUCAAUCUCGUGCCAUCUAUUUGUGAACAAUUCGACCAGUGCACAGUGUGUGAGGCGGUGGAUGUGCAACCGCCUUGGAAAAGGCCAAUAUGGCAGUGAUGUGAGGAGUGGGACCGAUGGAUGAUCCGAAGAGUGACAGUUCAAGUAUCUUUAUAGAUGUAAGCUUUGUACAUAAAGCCUCCACCAGAAAGCUGAACGAUCGUGAAAUGUUAGGUCUUUCGGUUCGCACGGAGGCUAAGAGAAAGGGUUCGACCCACGGGAUCUUUUGAAGGAAAUGAACAAUUUAUUUUUAUUAUUUUCAUUUCUCAUCAUAGAUUCCACAUUUU